GCUUAGGAUCAUAAUUUGUUUAUGAUUUUUUGUUUCUGAUUAUUUCUAGUUAUUUUGUUGACGUAGUCCAGAAUUUUAAUCUGUGUUGGCAAUAUAAAUACUAAUGUUUAUAUUUAUAAUUUACUGUUUUGAAAGCCGUUCAGAUAUUAAUUUCGUAAGUUAAUUCACUGUGAAACGGAAAUCAAUAAACUAUACUGUGUGU
rnacentral:lncRNA from 1 species